rnacentral:rRNA from 1 species
UGCAGUCGACGCGAAGUUUUCUUCGGAAGCGAGUAGAGUGGCGCACGGGUGAGUAACGCGUAAGUAAUCUACCCUGGUAUCUGGGAUAACCCACCGAAAGGUGUGCUAAUACCGGAUACGCUGAUUUAUCAGGAAAGGUGGCCUCUUCAUGAAAGCUACUGUACCAGGAGGAGCUUGCGUACCAUUAGCUAGUUGGUAGGGUAAUGGCCUACCAAGGCGACGAUGGUUAGCGGGUCUGAGAGGAUGAUCCGCCACACUGGAACUGAGACACGGUCCAGACUCCUACGGGAGGCAGCAGUGGGGAAUUUUGCGCAAUGGGGGAAACCCUGACGCAGCAAUACCGCGUGAGUGAAGAAGGCCUUUGGGUCGUAAAGCUCUUUUCUGAAGGAAGAUAGUGACGGUACUUCAGGAAUAAGCACCGGCUAACUCCGUGCCAGCAGCCGCGGUAAUACG